rnacentral:rRNA from 1 species
AGUGAACGCUGGCGGUAGGCCUAACACAUGCAAGUCGAACGGCAGCACGGGAGACCUUCCCCUCUGGGUGGCGCGUGGGGGAGGGGUGUGGAAUACAUCGGAACUUCCCCAGUCGUGGGGGUUACCGUGGGAAACCUUACCCUAUUCCCGCUUACAACCUUCGGGUGAAGGAGGGGGAUCGCAAGACCUCUCGCCUUUGGAUGAUCCGAUGCCGGAUUAGCUAGUUAGUGGGGUAAUGGCCCACCAAGGCGACGAUCCGUAGCUGGUCUGAGAGGAUGAUCAGCCACACUGGAACUGAGACACGGUCCAGACUCCUACGGGAGGCAGCAGUGGGGAAUAUUGGACAAUGGGCGAAAGCCUGAUCCAGCAAUACCGCGUGGGUGAAGAAGGCCUUCGGGUUGUAAAGCCCUGUUGUUGGGAAAGAAAUAAUUCAGGAUAAUACCCUGGGAGGAUGACGGUACCCAAAGAAUAAGCACCGGCUAACUUCGUG